rnacentral:lncRNA from 1 species
UUUCAUGAUAGGGUAGAUGAUAAUAAGCAUUCUUCAAUUGUUUCUCCAUCAUCUCACUCUUAUACACCUGGAGUUUAUCCUUCUCAAGACUUCCAUCCACCUCCAUCUUCCCAGGAUUAUCAUCAUCCACCUCCAUCUUCCCAAGAUUAUCAUCAUCCACCACCAUCCCAGGAUUAUCACCGUCCACCAUCUUCCCAAGAUUACCAUCCUCCACCACCUUCCCAAGAUUAUCAUUCUCCACCACCUUCCCAGGAGUACCAUCCUCCACCACCUUCCCAAGAUUAUCAACCUCCUCCACCUUCCCAAGAUUUCCAUCAUCCUCCACCUGCUAGAUCAGACAGUUCUUAUUCUGAGCCCUACAACCACCAGCAAUACUCACCAGAUCAGUCACAGAACUUAGGUCCUAAUUACCCUUCUCAUGAAACUCCCUCUUCUUACUCUCUUCCCCAUUUUCAAUCUUAUCCAAGUUU